GACGAACGCUGGCGGCGUGCUUAACACAUGCAAGUCGAACGGAAAGGCCCUGCUUUUGUGGGGUGCUCGAGUGGCGAACGGGUGAGUAACACGUGAGUAACCUGCCCUUGACUUUGGGAUAACUUCAGGAAACUGGGGCUAAUACCGGAUAGGAGCUCCUGCUGCAUGGUGGGCGUUGGAAAGUUUCGGCGGUUGGGGAUGGACUCGCGGCUUAUCAGCUUGUUGGUGGGGUAGUGGCUUACCAAGGCUUUGACGGGUAGCCGGCCUGUGAGGGUGACCGGGCACAUUGGGACUAAGAGACGGCGCAGACUGCAACGGGAGGCAGCGGUGGGGAAUAUGACACAGUGAGACGGAGCCUGAUACGACAGCGCCGCGUGCGGGAUGACGGCCUGCGGGUUGAGAACCGCUUUCGCCUGUGACGAAGCGUGAGUGACGGUAAUGGGUAAAGAAGCACCGGCUAACUACGUG
rnacentral:rRNA from 1 species